CCUACGGGUGGCAGCAGUGGGGAAUAUUGGGCAAUGGGAGGAAUCCUGACCCAGCGACGCCGCGUGAACGAAGACGGCCUUCGGGUUGUAAAGUUCUUUUAUGUGGGAAGAAUUAAGUGACGGUACCACAUGAAUAAGCCCCGGCUAACUACGUGCCAGCAGCCGCGGUAAUACGUAGGGGGCGAGCGUUGUCCGGAAUUACUGGGCGUAAAGGGCACGCAGGCUGUGCUUCAAGUCAGCUGUAAAAGGAUGCGGCUUAACCGUGUUAUGCAGUUGAGACUGAGGUGCUGGAGUACCGGAGAGGCAAGUGGAAUUCCCAGUGUAGCGGUGAAAUGCGUAGAUAUUGGGAAGAACAUCGGUGGCGAAGGCGACUUGCUGGACGGUAACUGACGCUGAGGUGCGAAAGCCAGGGUAGCGAACGGGAUUAGAUACCCCAGUAGUC
rnacentral:rRNA from 1 species